rnacentral:rRNA from 1 species
GACGAACGCUGGCGGCGUGCUUAACACAUGCAAGUCGAACGGAAAGGCCCUGCUUUUGUGGGGUGCUCGAGUGGCGAACGGGUGAGUAACACGUGAGUAACCUGCCCUUGACUUUGGGAUAACUUCAGGAAACUGGGGCUAAUACCGGAUAGGAGCUCCUGCUGCAUGGUGGGGGUUGGAAAGUUUAGGCGGUUGGGGAUGGACUCGCGGCUUAUCAGCUUGUUGGUGGGGUAGUGGAUUACCAAGGCUUUGACGGGUAGCCGGCCUGGGAGGGUGACCGGCCACAUUGGGACGGAGAUACGACCCAGACUCCUACGGGAGGCAGCAGAGGGGAAUAUUGCACAAUGGGAGGAGGGCUGAUGCGGCAACGCCGCGUGCGGGAUGACGGCCUUCGGGUUGUAAUCCGCAUUCGCCUGUGACGAAGCGUGAGUGACGGUAAUGGGUAAAGAAGCACCGGCUAACUACGUG